GUGAGGGAAAGAUGAAAAGAACCUUGAAAAGGGGGUUAAAAGUACGUGAAAUUGUUAUUAGGAAAGCACUUAGUCUCAUUGUGGAUUAGAUCAGUCUGUUUCGGCAGAUACUGUCCUAAUUAGUUAUGAUCAGUUAGCGUUGAUAAAGAAAAUUUGUAAUAAGGUAUUAGUGUAGUGCUAAACUUAAAGAUCACUUAUUAUUUGUCGAUACUGACUGAGGAAUGCUACUUAAUCUUUUUGAGUAAAUAGUUUGUGGAGUUAGGUUAAACAACAUGUUGAUUAGCUUAAUUAAAGNGAUCUAUUUGCUUUAAAACUUAAGUACAGGAUCAUAAUUAAAUGAUACUAAAU
rnacentral:rRNA from 1 species